rnacentral:rRNA from 1 species
GAAAAGCUCAAAUUUAAAAUCUGGCGGUCUCUGGCCGUCCGAGUUGUAGUCUGGAGAAGUGCUUUCCGCGCUGGACCGUGUACAAGUCCCUUGGAACAGGGCGUCAUAGAGGGUGAGAAUCCCGUCUCUGACACGGACUACCAGUGCUUUGUGAUGCGCUCUCGAAGAGUCGAGUUGUUUGGGAAUGCAGCUCAAAAUGGGUGGUAAAUUCCAUCUAAAGCUAAAUAUUGGCGAGAGACCGAUAGCGAACAAGUACCGUGAGGGAAAGAUGAAAAGCACUUUGGAAAGAGAGUUAAACAGUACGUGAAAUUGCUGAAAGGGAAACGCUUGAAGUCAGUCGCGUUGGCCGGAACUCAGCCUUGCUUGAUUGCUCGGUGCACUUUCCGGUCGACGGGCCAGCAUCGAUUUUGAUUGUUGGAAAAAGGCCGGGGGAAUGUGGCACCUUCGGGUGUGUUAUAGCCCUUGGUCACAUACGACGGUUGGGAUCGAGGAACUCAGCACGCCUCUUGAUUGAGGUCGGGGCUUCGGCCCACGUUUACGUGCUUAGGAUGCUGGCGUAAUGGCUUUAAACGACCCGUCUUGAAACACGGACCAAGGAGUCUAACCUGUGCGCGAGUGUUUGGGUGGAAAACCCGAGCGCGUAAUGAAAGUGAAAGUUGAGAUCCCUGUCGCGGGGAGCAUCGACGCCCGGACCAGACCUUUUUGUGACGGAUCCGCGGUAGAGCGUAUACGUUGGGACCCGAAAGAUGGUGAACUAUGCCUGAAUAGGGUGAAGCCAGAGGAAACUCUGGUGGAGGCUCGUAGCGAUUCUGACGUGCAAAUCGAUCGUCAAAUUUGGGUAUAGGGGCGAAAGACUAAUCGAACC